rnacentral:rRNA from 1 species
UACGGAGGAUCCGAGCGUUAUCCGGAUUUAUUGGGUUUAAAGGGUGCGCAGGCGGGGGAUUAAGUCGGCGGUGAAAUUUUGCAGCUCAACUGUAAAAGUGCCUUCGAAACUGGUUUCCUUGAGUGUAGAUGAAGUAGGCGGAAUUUGUGGUGUAGCGGUGAAAUGCUUAGAUAUCACACAGAAUAUCGAUUGCGAAGGCAGCUCACAAAGCCAAGAUUGACGCUGAGGCACGAAAGUGUGGGGAGCAAACAGGAUUAGAUACCCU